CACACACAUUCCUGUAGAGUCAAGAUAGAUGACACAAAUUUACCCACAAGUGUAGGUAGUGUGCUACACGAGGGGCAAGGCUUUUGCUAACACUCCACUACUCUGGCCCAGUGGGUGGAGCUUGCUAGUAACCCUUGCUACAGGU
rnacentral:snoRNA from 1 species